AUUCUAUCUAGAUUAGGGAUUGGCAGACCAUGUUCAGAGGACCAAAUCUUGCCACUGCUUGGGUUUGUGAAUAAAGUUUUACUAAAGUGUAGGCACAGCCUUUCAAUUAUAUACCAUCUAUGGCUGCUUCCACACUGAAAUGACAGAUUUGCAUUGUUGCCAGAGAGACUAUAAGGAUCACAGUCUACAAAUAUUUACUAUCUGGCCUACUACAGAAAAAGUUUGCUGACCUCUGACCCAAUCUUAACAAUCCUCCUUCCUCCUAUGUAAAUACACAGGACAAACUCUCAAAAAUGCUUACCAGGAGAUAGGAGAAUGUUUAUAGUAAGAUCCUUUUAACAGCAAGAUCCUGGAAAGAGCUCAAAUUUUCAUCAAGCAAAAGAAUUGAUAAAACUGGUAUAUGCCUGCAGGGCCCAUUAGACAGCAGUGAAAAUGAAUAGCAGCCAUUCACCUUAGCAUGGAUGAAUCUUACACAAUGUUGAGUAACAAAAUAAAAAAAUACCUUGACAUUUCAUCUGUAGGACAGUUCAAAAAUAAGAUCAAACAAUGGUCAGUGGUGCAUGUUUUCUGAAAGGAGAAAAAAAUUAAGGAAUGAUAAACACAAAAUUCAGGACAGUGGUGACAUACAGGGUGAAAGGAGUGACAUGUAGGAGGCAGACAAAUUUCAACAGUGUGAAUUGCCAUAUUAAGCAAGAGGGUGUAUCCAUGGGAGUUUAUUAUUGUGACUUUA
rnacentral:lncRNA from 1 species